rnacentral:rRNA from 1 species
CCUACGGGGUGCUGCAGUGGGGAAUAUUGGGCAAUGGGCGCAAGCCUGACCCAGCAACGCCGCGUGAAGGAAGAAGGCUUUCGGGUUGUAAACUUCUUUUAAGGGGGAAGAGCAGAAGACGGUACCCCUUGAAUAAGCCACGGCUAACUACGGGCCAGCAGCCGCGGUAAUACGUAGGUGGCAAGCGUUGUCCGGAUUUACUGGGUGUAAAGGGCGUGCAGCCGGAGAGACAAGUCAGAUGUGAAAUCCACGGGCUCAACCCGUGAACUGCAUUGGAAACUGUUUCCCUUGAGUGUCGGAGAGGUAAUCGGAAUUCCUUGUGUAGCGGUGAAAUGCGUAGAUAUAAGGAAGAACACCAGUGGCGAAGGCGGAUUACUGGACGAUAACUGACGGUGAGGCGCGAAAGCGUGGGGAGCAAACAGGAUUAGAUACCCGGGUAGUC